rnacentral:rRNA from 1 species
GUGCCAGCAGCCGCGGUAAUUCCAGCUCCAAUAGCGUAUAUUAAAGUUGUUGUGGUUAAAAAGCUCGUAGCUGAACCUUGGGCCUGGCUGGCCGGUCCGCCUCACCGCGUGCACUGGUCCGGCCGGGCCUUUCCCUCUGUGGAACCCCAUACCCUUCACUGGGCGUGGCGGGGAAACAGGACAUUUACUUUGAAAAAAUUAGAGUGCUCCAGGCAGGCCUAUGCUCGAAUACAUUAGCAUGGAAUAAUAAAAUAGGACGCGCGGUUCUAUUUUGUUGGUUUAUAGGACCGCCGUAAUGAUUAAUAGGGACAGUCGGGGGCAUCAGUAUUCAACUGUCAGAGGUGAAAUUCUUGGAUCAGUUGAAGACUAACUACUGCGAAAGCAUUUGCCAAGGAUGUUUUCAUUAAUCAGGAACGAAAGUUAGGGGAUCGAAGACGAUCAGAUACCGUCGUAGUCUUAACCAUAAACUAUGCCGACUAGGGAUCGGACGGUGUUAUUCAUGACCCGUUCGGCACCUUACGAGAAAUCAAAGUGCUUGGGCUCCAGGGGGAGUAUGGUCGCAAGGCUGAAACUUAAAGAAAUUGACGGAAGGGCACCACCAGGGGUGGAGCCUGCGGCUUAAUUUGACUCAACACGGGGAAACUCACCAGGUCCAGACACAAUAAGGAUUGACAGAUUGAGAGCUCUUUCUUGAUUUUGUGGGUGGUGGUGCAUGGCCGUUCUUAGUUGGUGGGGUGACUUGUCUGCUUAAUUGCGAUAACGAACGAGACCUUAACUGCUAAAUAGCCCGCAUUGCUCGGCAGGUGCGCUGGCUUCUUAGGAGGGACUUUCGGCUCAAGCCGGAAGGAAGGUUUGAGGCAUUAC